rnacentral:tRNA from 1 species
AUUUAAAUAAUUUAAUUAAAAUAUUAAUUUGUGGAAUUAAAAUUAUAUGAAUAUCAUAUUUUAAAUA